AAUGAUUACAUUUUUAUUUAUAAAAUAUUUUACCAGGAAAGAUACACUGAGAUUUCUCUGUGUAGUGGUUAUGCUGCCUAGAGUCAGCGGAUGGAGUCUCAAGCUUUGUAUCAACUGUUUAGGAGCAGUUUGAACAAAAACAGGCUGAAAAUCGCCCCAGACUCAGCCACUUUGAUAAUGCAGAAUUAACACUUCCACUCUAUCAAUGUUCUGAUCAAUCGAAUUAUAUCCAACCUGGACCGGUGGUUGAGUGAGAGUGCUGGUGGUGGGUUAGUCCUUCUCUCUCCGAGCUUGUCAUUGCUAUCUAGGAUGGUACCAAAUAUUUCAGUUUGGUGAAAAAUCAUUCUUGCUGUUGAUUUUCUAUCUUCAGCCGCUAAUCUAUUUUUUUUUUUUUUUUUUUACUGAAUAAUAUAUUAAAUCUGUACUGUAUAUGUAAGAUGUUGUUCAAUAUACGGAGAUUACUUAUUUCUGACAGUAGGAACAUUGGCCAUCAACUUAUUGUGGAAGUUGAGUAAUUGUCACAUCAUUCUUAUGCAUUUUUGUUUUUACUUGUUUCUUGUAGCCAGGGAGAGCCUUGCACACAGUGAUGACUAACAUUGGC